rnacentral:tRNA from 1 species
GCGGGUAUAAAUUAAAGGUAGAUUAUCUGCCUUCCAAGCAGAAUGUAUGAGUUCGAUUCUCAUUACCCGCA